UACGUAGGGUGCAGGCGUUAAUCGGAAUUACUGGGCGUAAAGCGUGCGCAGGCGGCUUCCUAAGUCAGAUGUGAAAUCCCCGGGCUUAACCUGGGAACUGCGUUUGAAACUGGGAAGCUAGAGUGUGGCAGAGGGGGGUGGAAUUCCACGUGUAGCAGUGAAAUGCGUAGAGAUGUGGAGGAACACCGAUGGCGAAGGCAGCCCCCCUGGGCUGAGAUUGACGCUCAGGCACGAAAGCGUGGGGAGCAAACAGG
rnacentral:rRNA from 1 species